rnacentral:rRNA from 1 species
AGUGAACGCUGGCGGUAGGCCUAACACAUGCAAGUCGAACGGCAGCACAGUAAGAGCUUGCUCUUACGGGUGGCGAGUGGCGGACGGGUGAGGAAUACAUCGGAAUCUACUUUUUCGUGGGGGAUAACGGAGGGAAACUUACGCUAAUACCGCAUACGACCUACGGGUGAAAGCAGGGGAUCUUCGGACCUUGCGCGAUUGAAUGAGCCGAUGUCGGAUUAGCUAGUUGGCGGGGUAAAGGCCCACCAAGGCGACGAUCCGUAGCUGGUCUGAGAGGAUGAUCAGCCACACUGGAACUGAGACACGGUCCAGACUCCUACGGGAGGCAGCAGUGGGGAAUAUUGGACAAUGGGCGCAAGCCUGAUCCAGCCACACCGCGUGGGUGAAGAAGGCCUUCGGGUUGUAAAGCCCUUUUGUUGGGAAAGAAAAGCAGCAGGUUAAUCCCCCGAUGUUCUGACGGUACCCAAAGAAUAAGCACCGGCUAACUUCGUG